rnacentral:misc_RNA from 1 species
AGCAAGUGGAGGCUUGGAAACCAAUUGUAGAUGCAGUUCAUGCUAAAGGAGGAAUCUUCUUUUGCCAAAUUUGGCAUGUUGGUAGAGUUUCCAACAAAGAUUUUCAGCCCAAUGGAGAGGAUCCUAUCUCCUGCACAGACAGAGGACUAACACCUCAAAUUCGUUCCAAUGGCAUAGAUAUUGCACACUUUACACGACCUAGACGGUUGACAACAGAUGAAAUUCCUCAAAUUGUUAACGAAUUUCGAG